UACGUAGGGGGCGAGCGUUGUCCGGAAUCAUUGGGCGUAAAGCGCGUGUAGGCGGUCCGGUAAGUCCGCUGUGAAAGUCGGGGGCUCAACCCUCGGAUGCCGGUGGAUACUGUCGGGCUCGAGUACGGAAGAGGCGAGUGGAAUUCCUGGUGUAGCGGUGGAAUGCGCAGAUAUCAGGAGGAACACCGAUAGCGAAGGCAGCUCGCUGGGACGGUACUGACGCUGAGGCGCGAAAGCGUGGGGAGCGAACAGG
rnacentral:rRNA from 1 species